AUAACAAGAUUUAUUGAUAUAUCCCAUAAAAUUUGAAGGAUACAUAUAAGAUUAGCAUGCCCCUCGGCAAGGAUAUUGAGGCGCACAACUGAGAAAAAAGAAAAGUUUUA
rnacentral:snRNA from 1 species